GACAGAGGGUGCAAGCGUUGUUCGGAAUUACUGGGCGUAAAGGGCUCGUAGGCGGACAACUAAGUCGGAUGUGAAAUCCCCAGGCUCAACCUGGGAACUGCAUCCGAUACUGGAUGGCUUGAAUUCGGGAGAGGGAUGCAGAAUUCCAGGUGUAGCGGUGAAAUGCGUAGAUAUCUGGAGGAAUACCGGUGGCGAAGGCGGCAUCCUGGACCGACAUUGACGCUGAGGAGCGAAAGCCAGGGGAGCAAACGGG
rnacentral:rRNA from 1 species